GCGUUUGUGGUUUAGUGGUAAAAUCCAUCGUUGCCAUAAAGCAUUUCCAAUGCAAGAUCUGAGACUCGACCACUAGGCAGUUAGGAUCGCAGCUUCGAUGGGCCCCGGGUUCGAUUCCCGGCGAACGCA